rnacentral:misc_RNA from 1 species
AACUUUUGACAACGGAUCACUUGGCUCUCGCAUCGAUGAAUAACGCAGCGAAAUGCGAUAAGUAAUGUGAAUUGCAGAAUUCAGUGAAUCAUCGAAUCUUUGAACGCACCUUGCGCUCCUUGGUAUUCCGAGGAGCAUGCCUGUUUGAGUGUCAUUUUAUAUAUAUCAACCCUCCUUUGUUGAGAGUGGUUUGGAUGUGAGGGUUUGCUGGAUCCCUUAAAAGAAUUCAGCUCCCUUGAAAUGCAUUAGCAGAAUAACCUGUUCAUUGGUGUGAUAACUAUCUACACUAUUGAAUUCAAGGGCCAGUUCAGCUUUCUAACAGUCCUUGGACAAUUUAUCAUUUAUGUGACCUCAAAUCAGGUAGGACUACCCGCUGAACUUAAGCAUAUCAAUAAGCGGAGGCU